AUUGAACGCUGGCGGCAUGCCUUACACAUGCAAGUCGAACGGUAACAGGUCUUCGGAUGCUGACGAGUGGCGAACGGGUGAGUAAUACAUCGGAACGUGCCCGAGAGUGGGGGAUAACGAGGCGAAAGCUUUGCUAAUACCGCAUACGAUCUCAGGAUGAAAGCAGGGGACCGCAAGGCCUCGCGCGAUUGGAGCGGCCGAUGUCAGAUUAGGUAGUUGGUGGGGUAAAGGCUCACCAAGCCAACGAUCUGUAGCUGGUCUGAGAGGACGACCAGCCACACUGGGACUGAGACACGGCCCAGACUCCUACGGGAGGCAGCAGUGGGGAAUUUUGGACAAUGGGCGCAAGCCUGAUCCAGCAAUGCCGCGUGCAGGAAGAAGGCCUUCGGGUUGUAAACUGCUUUUGUACGGAACGAAAAGGUUUGGGUUAAUACCCUGGGCCGAUGACGGUACCGUAAGAAUAAGCACCGGCUAACUACGUGCCAGCCGCCGCUGUAAUAC
rnacentral:rRNA from 1 species